UGUGGAUGUAGCUCCAUGGUAGAGCACUUGCCUAGCAUGCAUAAGGCCUUGGGUUUGAUCCCCAGCACUGCAA
rnacentral:tRNA from 1 species